UGAGGCUCCUAUCGAAGCCGAUCAUGCUCACUCGUAGCAGCGAUCGGUCAAACGGAUGCCAAGAAAAAUACUUUCACCGACGGUCGUUGUUCGGUUUUCAAAACUAUAACCGUUACAACAACAUUUGUGUGAAAGACAUUA
ensembl:snoRNA small nucleolar RNA SNORA16B/SNORA16A family